CAAGUACCGUGAGGGAAAGGUGAAAAGAACUGAGGUGAUCAGAGUGAAAUAGAACCUGAAACCAUUUGCUUACAAUCAUUCAGAGCCCUAUGUAGCAAUACAGGGUGAUGGACUGCCUUUUGCAUAAUGAGCCUGCGAGUUGUGGUGUCUGGCAAGGUUAAGCAAACGCGAAGCCGUAGCGAAAGCGAGUCUGAAUAGGGCGCUUAGUCAGAUGCUGCAGACCCGAAACGAAGUGAUCUAUCCAUGAGCAAGUUGAAGCUAGUGUAAGAACUAGUGGAGGACUGAACCCAUAGGCGUUGAAAAGCCCCGGGAUGACUUGUGGAUAGGGGUGAAAGGCCAAUCAAACUUCGUGAUAGCUGGUUCUCUCCGAAAUAUAUUUAGGUAUAGCGUUGUGUCGUAAUAUAAGGGGGUAGAGCACUGAAUGGGCUAGGGCAUACACCAAUGUACCAAACCCUAUCAAACUCCGAAUACCUUAUAUGUAAUCACAGCAGUCAGGCGGCGAGUGAUAAAAUCCGUCGUCAAGAGGGAAACAACCCAGACUACCAGCUAAGGUCCCUAAAUCUUACUUAAGUGGAAAACGAUGUGAAGUUACUUAAACAACCAGGAGGUUGGCUUAGAAGCAGCCAUCCUUUAAAGAAAGCGUAAUAGCUCACUGGUCUAGUGAUUUUGCGCGGAAAAUAUAACGGGGCUAAAGUAAGUACCGAAGCUGUAGACUUGCACACAACUUAGAUUAUUUAAGUUUAGAAUAUGAGAAACUAAGUUAUAUGUUUAGUUAUAUUUUUACUGAUUUUUAUAGAGUAAAGAUAGAAAUAAAACUUAGUAAAAUCAGUAAAAAUAUUCUUAGACUAAAGUUAAGUAGUUUAAGUUGUGUGCAAGUGGUAGGAGAGCGUUCUAUUUGCGUCGAAGGUAUACCGGUAAGGAGUGCUGGAGCGAAUAGAAGUGAGCAUGCAGGCAUGAGUAGCGAUAAUUAAUGUGAGAAUCAUUAACGCCGUAAACCCAAGGUUUCCUACGCGAUGCUCGUCAUCGUAGGGUUAGUCGGGUCCUAAGUCGAGUCCGAAAGGGGUAGACGAUGGCAAAUUGGUUAAUAUUCCAAUACCAACAUUAGUGUGCGAUGGAAGGACGCUUAGGGCUAAGGGGGCUAGCGGAUGGAAGUGCUAGUCUAAGGUCGUAGGAGGUUAUACAGGCAAAUCCGUAUAACAAUACUCCGAGAACUGAAAGGCUUUUUGAAGUCUUCGGAUGGAUAGAAGAACCCCUGAUGCCGUCGAGCCAAGAAAAGUUUCUAAGUUUAGCUAAUGUUGCCCGUACCGUAAACCGACACAGGUGGGUGGGAUGAGUAUUCUAAGGCGCGUGGAAGAACUCUCUUUAAGGAACUCUGCAAAAUAGCACCGUAUCUUCGGUAUAAGGUGUGGUUAGCUUUGUAUUAGGAUUUACUCCGAAAGCAAGGAAACUUACAACAAAGAGUCCCUCCCGACUGUUUACCAAAAACACAGCACUCUGCUAACUCGUAAGAGGAUGUAUAGGGUGUGACGCCUGCCCGGUGCUCGAAGGUUAAUUGAUGGGGUUAGCAUUAGCGAAGCUCUUGAUCGAAGCCCGAGUAAACGGCGGCCGUAACUAUAACGGUCCUAAGGUAGCGAAAUUCCUUGUCGGUUAAAUACCGACCUGCAUGAAUGGCGUAACGAGAUGGGAGCUGUCUCAAAGAGGGAUCCAGUGAAAUUGUAGUGGAGGUGAAAAUUCCUCCUACCCGCGGCAAGACGGAAAGACCCCGUGGACCUUUACUACAGCUUGACACUGCUACUUGGAUAAGAAUGUGCAGGAUAGGUGGGAGGCUUUGAGUAUAUGACGCCAGUUGUAUAUGAGCCAUUGUUGAGAUACCACUCUUUCUUAUUUGGGUAGCUAACCAGCUUGAGUUAUCCUCAAGUGGGACAAUGUCUGGUGGGUAGUUUGACUGGGGCGGUCGCCUCCCAAAUAAUAACGGAGGCUUACAAAGGUUGGCUCAGAACGGUUGGAAAUCGUUCGUAGAGUAUAAAGGUAUAAGCCAGCUUAACUGCAAGACAUACAAGUCAAGCAGAGACGAAAGUCGGUCUUAGUGAUCCGGUGGUUCUGUGUGGAAGGGCCAUCGCUCAAAGGAUAAAAGGUACCCCGGGGAUAACAGGCUGAUCUCCCCCAAGAGCUCACAUCGACGGGGAGGUUUGGCACCUCGAUGUCGGCUCAUCGCAUCCUGGGGCUGGAGCAGGUCCCAAGGGUAUGGCUGUUCGCCAUUUAAAGCGGUACGCGAGCUGGGUUCAGAACGUCGUGAGACAGUUCGGUCCCUAUCUGCCGUGGGCGUAAGAAGAUUGAAGAGAUUUGACCCUAGUACGAGAGGACCGGGUUGAACAAACCACUGGUGUAGCUGUUGUUCUGCCAAGAGCAUCGCAGCGUAGCUAAGUUUGGAAAGGAUAAACGCUGAAAGCAUCUAAGCGUGAAGCCAACUCUAAGAUGAAUCUUCUCUAAGCUCUCUAGAAGACUACUAGUUUGAUAGGCUGGGUGUGUAAUGGAUGAAAGUCCUUUAGCUGACCAGUACUAAUAGAGCGUUUGGCUUAUCUUUAAUAAAGCAU
rnacentral:rRNA from 1 species